UACGGAGGGAGCUAGCGUUAUUCGGAAUUACUGGGCGUAAAGCGCACGUAGGCGGCUUUGUAAGUCAGAGGUGAAAGCCUGGAGCUCAACUCCAGAACUGCCUUUGAGACUGCAUCGCUUGAAUCCAGGAGAGGUGAGUGGAAUUCCGAGUGUAGAGGUGAAAUUCGUAGAUAUUCGGAAGAACACCAGUGGCGAAGGCGGCUCACUGGACGACUGUUGACGCUGAGGUGCGAAAGCGUGGGGAGCAAACAGG
rnacentral:rRNA from 1 species